GACGAACGCUGGCGGCGUGCUUAACACAUGCAAGUCGAACGGAAAGGCCCUGCUUUUGUGGGGUGCUCGAGUGGCGAACGGGUGAGUAACACGUGAGUAACCUGCCCUUGACUUUGGGAUAACUUCAGGAAACUGGGGCUAAUACCGGAUAGGAGCUCCUGCUGCAUGGUGGGGGUUGGAAAGUUUCGGCGGUUGGGGAUGGACUCGCGGCUUAUCAGCUUGUUGGUGGGGUAGUGGCUUACCAAGGCUUUGACGGGUAGCCGGCCUGAGAGGGUGACCGGCCACAUUGGGACUGAGAUACGGCCCAGACUCCUACGGGAGGCAGCAGUGGGGAAUAUUGCACAAUGGGCGGAAGCCUGAUGCAGCAACGCCGCGUGCGGGAUGACGGCCUUCGGGUUGUAAACCGCUUUCGCCUGUGACGAAGCGUGAGUGACGGUAAUGGGUAAAGAAGCACCGGCUAACUACGUGCCAGCAGCCGCGGUGAUACGUAGGGUGCGAGCGUUGUCCGGAUUUAUUGGGCGUAAAGGGCUCGUAGGUGGUUGAUCGCGUCGGAAGUGUAAUCUUGGGGCUUAACCCUGAGCGUGCUUUCGAUACGGGUUGACUUGAGGAAGGUAGGGGAGGAUGGAAUUCCUGGUGGAGCGGUGGAAUGCGCAGAUAUCAGGAGGAACACCAGUGGCGAAGGCGGUUCUCUGGGCCUUUCCUGACGCUGAGGAGCGAAAGCGUGGGGAGCGAACAGGCUUAGAUACCCUGGUAGUCCACGCUGUAAACGGUGGGUACUAGGUGUGGGGUCCAUUCCACGGGUUCCGUGCCGUAGCUAACGCUUUAAGUACCCCGCCUGGGGAGUACGGCCGCAAGGCUAAAACUCAAAGGAAUUGACGGGGCCCCGCACAAGCGGCGGAGCAUGCGGAUUAAUUCGAUGCAACGCGUAGAACCUUACCUGGGUUUGACAUGGAUCGGGAGUGCUCAGAGAUGGGUGUGCCUCUUUUGGGGUCGGUUCACAGGUGGUGCAUGGCUGUCGUCAGCUCGUGUCGUGAGAUGUUGGGUUAAGUCCCGCAACGAGCGCAACCCUUGUUCACUGUUGCCAGCACGUUAUGGUGGGGACUCAGUGGAGACCGCCGGGGUCAACUCGGAGGAAGGUGGGGAUGACGUCAAGUCAUCAUGCCCCUUAUGUCCAGGGCUUCACGCAUGCUACAAUGGCUGGUACAGAGAGUGGCGAGCCUGUGAGGGUGAGCGAAUCUCGGAAAGCCGGUCUCAGUUCGGAUUGGGGUCUGCAAUUCGACCUCAUGAAGUCGGAGUCGCUAGUAAUCGCAGAUCAGCAACGCUGCGGUGAAUACGUUCCCGGGGCU
rnacentral:rRNA from 1 species